AACGAACGCUGGCGGCAUGCCUAACACAUGCAAGUCGAACGAGACCUUCGGGUCUAGUGGCGCACGGGUGCGUAACGCGUGGGAACCUGCCCUUAGGUUCGGAAUAACUCCCCGAAAGGGGUGCUAAUACCGGAUAAUGUCUUCGGACCAAAGAUUUAUCGCCUUUGGAUGGGCCCGCGUUGGAUUAGCUAGUUGGUAGGGUAAAAGCCUACCAAGGCGACGAUCCAUAGCUGGUCUGAGAGGAUGAUCAGCCACACUGGGACUGAGACACGGCCCAGACUCCUACGCGAGGCAGCAGUGGGGAAUAUUGUACAAUGGGCGAAAGCCUGAUCCAGCAAUGCCGCGUGGGUGAUAAAGGCCUUAGGGUUGUAAAGCCCUUUUACCCGGGAUGAUAAUGACAGACCCGGAAGAAUAAGCUCCGGCUAACUCCGUG
rnacentral:rRNA from 1 species